GAUGAACGCUGGCGGCGUGCCUAAUACAUGCAAGUCGAGCGAACAGACGAGGAGCUUGCUCCUCUGACGUUAGCGGCGGACGGGUGAGUAACGCGUGGAUAACCUACCUAUAAGACUGGGAUAACUUCGGGAAACCGGAGCUAAUACCGGAUAAUAUCUUGAACCGCAUGGUUCAAUAGUGAAAGACGGUUUUGCUGUCACUUAUAGAUGGAUCCGCGCCGCAUUAGCUAGUUGGUAAGGUAACGGCUUACCAAGGCAACGAUGCGUAGCCGACCUGAGAGGGUGAUCGGCCACACUGGAACUGAGACACGGUCCAGACUCCUACGGGAGGCAGCAGUAGGGAAUCUUCCGCAAUGGGCGAAAGCCUGACGGAGCAACGCCGCGUGAGUGAUGAAGGUCUUCGGAUCGUAAAACUCUGUUAUUAGGGAAGAACAAAUGUGUAAGUAACUAUGCACGUCUUGACGGUACCUAAUCAGAAAGCCACGGCUAACUACGUG
rnacentral:rRNA from 1 species